rnacentral:rRNA from 1 species
GGAUUAGGCAUGCAAGUCGAACGAAGACGCUCUGUGUAGCAAUACUCGGAGCGGACUGAGUGGCGAAAGGGGCAGUAAUGUGUGGGUAACCUACCCUGGGGAUGGGCAUAGCCGGACUAACGUCCGGGUAAUUCCCAGCGAUGUUGCGGGGGGACAUCCUCUUGUGACCAAAUGGAUUCCGCCCUGGGAGGGGCUCACGUCGUAUUAGCUUGUUGGCGGGGUAACGGCCCACCAAGGCAUAGAUGCGUAGCGGGUGUGAGAGCACGACCCGCGCCACUGGCACUGAGACACUGGCCAGACACCUACGGGUGGCUGCAGUCGAGGAUCUUUGGCAAUGGGCGCAAGCCUGACCAAGCGACGCCGCGUGUGCGAUGAAGGCCUUCGGGUUGUAAAGCACUGUCGAGGGGGAUAAAGCCGCAAGGUUGAUAGAUCCCUGGAGGAAGCACGGGCUAAGUUCGUGCCAGCAGCCGCGGUAAGACGAACCGUGCGAACGUUGUUCGGAAUCACUGGGCUUAAAGGGCGCGUAGGCGGUUUGCCAAGUCAGGGGUGAAAUCCUGCAGCUUAACUGUAGAAGUGCCUUUGAUACUGGCGAACUCGAGGGAGGUAGGGGUGGGUGGAACUUCUGGUGGAGCGGUGAAAUGCGUUGAUAUCGGAAGGAACGCCGGUGGCGAAAGCGACCCACUGGAUCUCCACUGACGCUGAGGCGCGAAAGCCAGGGGAGCAAACGGGAUUAGAUACCCCGGUAGUCCUGGCCCUAAACGUUGGGUACUAGAUUGCAGACUAUCAUGGGUUUGCAGUCGAAGCAAAAGUGAUAAGUACCCCGCCUGGGGAGUAUGGUCGCAAGGC